rnacentral:lncRNA from 1 species
AAUCCCAUUUGGGGCCCCUCCAGAAGAUGGACUGAGCCUGCUCAGAACUCAGCCUCUGCUUUCUGGCCCCAGCCCCUUAGAACUGGAGCUCUGUUUGGAAGAAAAACUACAUGUCCAUAGAGCGAACUGGUGCUGGUAAUUCCUUAAUGAAAACCAGAAAUACGAUGCAAACACCCAGUGGGUUAACCCAUUCUGGGGGUGGCUCUGAGCCAGUACUUAGGGCUGGGUGCAUAAAGACCCCCCGGACAGGGCUUCUGCCCCGCCAGGCUUCUAUCAGAACGUGCAGCCAUCGCAGUGCCAGAGGCAGAGGAGCUUACGCCAGCACACAGGAGAGGAGACAGUGGGAUUCAGAGCCCCACUGCCCUCCACCCCAACCCCAGCACCCAUUCUACAGAUUCCCCAGCUCCCCUGGGGGCAGCCCUCCGCCCUAAGAGAAACUGAGAAGUGCAUGAGUCAGCACAUUCAUUCUCUGCCUCACCUCGCCUGCCUGCCUGCCUGCCUGCCUGCCUGCCUGCCUGGGAUCAGAAUUAGCCAACACCCAUUCCAAACACACUGGUUACACCAUCCACCUCCACCCAGCUCUGCCUGCAAGGGUGGCACCUGUUUUGCCACACCCUCUCUGCAGCUUUAAACCUCCCACGGAAGCACAGAAACAGAUUAACCUGGCCCACUGGAAGCACCUCCAACUCUCAGGAGUCAGAUAAGUGAGGACUGGUUUUUACGGUGCUUACUUCUGAAACGACUGGAGGCUGCUGUUUACAAUAAGAAACAAAGAAACAAUCCACUCUCAAGGCCUGGAAUGGAAGAACAGUAACAAUGUAAUGAAGUCCAUGCAUGUGCCUUUGCUUGGCAGCAGGCAAGAAUUCCUUGUGUCAGGAAUCCUGAUUUAAACCAGGCUGGGUGGGUUAAGCCUGUAAUCCCAGCACUCUGGGAGGCCCAGGCGUGAGGGUAGCUUGAGGCCAAGAGUUGGAGACCAGCCUGGUCAACAUAGCAAGACCUUGUCUCUACAGAAACUAAAAAAAUGAGGCAGGCAUGUUGGUGUGUUCCUGUAGUCCCAGCUACCUGGAAUGCUGAGGUGGGAAGAUCUUUUGAGACCAGGAAUUCGAGGUUGCAGGGGGCUAUGAUCAUGCCGCUGCACUCCAGGCUGGGUGACAGAGCAAGACCCCUUCUCAACCAAUAAAAAAAAAAAAAAAGAAAGAAAGAUAAAGAAAAGAAGUCCUGAUUUAGAAAGAAUACUAUAAUUUACACAAAAUCUUGUACUGAGCCUCCUAGGAAGCAAGGGGGAAAAUGGUUUAUGCUGCUCUCUUUAUCAGAUGUUAAAAAGCAUACCAUACCUUCUCAGGCACCAAAACUCUUAGCAAUUUUUUUCUAACCUAGAGAAGGGCUUCAAAAAAUAAGUGUGAGGCCGGGUGCGGUGGCUCGUGCCUGUAAUCCCGGCACUUUGGGAGGUCAAGGCGGGCGGAUCACCUGAGGUCAGGAGUUGGAGACCAGCCUGGCCAACAUGGUGAAACCCUGUCUCUACUAAAAAAUACAAAAAUUAGCUGGGCGUGGUGGUGCACGCCUGUAAUCCUGGCUACUAGGGAGGCUGAAGCACGAGAAUUGCUUGAACCCAGGAGGCAGAGAUUGCGGUGAGUAGAGAUGGCACCACUGCACUCCAGCCUGGGCGACAUAAUGAGACUCUGUCAAAAAAAAAAAAAAAAGGUGGAGGGAAGAAGGGAAAGCAAACUUACUCCUAGCCUUGAUACCUUCACUACUAAACACUAAUCAAUUAUCAGCUGGGGAGAGCAUCAAAUAAGCAUGGGCACUGGCAUCCAUGGAAAGUUUUACAACAUAUGCAGAGUUAUUUUCCCUGUGAUGGUUUCAGAAUCACCUGUGAAGCCUGCAAAAAUGCAAAUUGCUGAUCCCAUCCCCAGACCCACAGAAAUGGAAUCUCUCAGGGGAUAGACCCUGGAAGCUGCAUUUCCUUUGUAUUCCCCACGGAAUUCUUGGGCAUCCUAAAGUUAGAGAACUGUUCCAGAACUUCUUUACGCUUGAAAGGGAAGCUGCAUUUCAACUUGGACCCUGGGAGAGUAGCUCCCCUUUCCCUCACUACUGUGACUUUGAGCAGCCAAAGAGGAUCCCACUCCCAGGACCACGCCAGCUCUAAUGAAACUAGAUGUUUGUAAAUCAAGCCUGCCCACAUUGCAAACGUUCACCCCACCCCGCCCCGCCCCACCCCGCCAUCCCCACUGUGUUAGUCCCAGUCCUCUGAGAAACAGAGAUUAAGAAAGGAUUAAACAGGAAAAGAUUUUGUUGGAGGAAAUGCAUAUAUGACAGAAAGUAAGAAGGAGCAGACCAGGCUACAGUGUGAGUCUGACCCCAAAGAGGGUCACCAAAUUUGUCAAAUAGCCAGGAUAAUCAGGUAAAUAUGAAUUUCAGAUAAACAACAAAUAAUCUUUUUAGUAUAAGAAUAUCCCAUGCAAUGUUUGAGCCAUACUUACACGAAUAAUUCUUUGUUUAUCUAGUAUUCAGAUUUUCCUGGGCGUCCUGUGUUGCAUCUGGCAACCCUGACUCCCAGUGAAGGAGAAAGGCAGGCUGAGUAGGAGCACCCUGGACUGCUGUGCCGUCUAGGGGAGGUUCAGUAAAGUCAUCGGGGAAUCCUUGAGCCAAAGGUAGGGGAGGAAUCCCCCAGCUUCCAGGCUCGGGCCAGCUUUAGUAUCCCUGCUGCACUCCGUCUUGACGUCAGCACAAGCCAGGGGAUGGAUUCUAGAGCCAGGGGGGCCCUGGGCCAGCUGUACUGCCGUAACUGGAGGCCUGCGAGGCAAACCCUCAUGCCACCACACCCCAAUGCAAAGCCCAGAGUGGCAGAAGGCUCGGCAGAGGCUGCCAGUGGUCACCUGUGUUCUAGCCUCAGCUUGACCUCCUUGAAACUAGGUCAGGAAAAACCACCUCUCCCCCAGUUUUCCCAGCUGGCUCACAGAUACCCUAGAGAGAUAAAUGAGGUGAUGAGACUAAGUACUUCUUGGUCCUCAGAUCAAAGGUUCUGUAUGCUGAGCGCUGGAUGAGUCUUUCAUGGGGACUGGAUCUUCUGGUCAGAGACACUCUGCCUCACCCCUACAGAGACACCUCCAACUCUACUUGGUGGAUGUGGCCAAUUGAACCUCUUUUCCACAAAUGUGAACUUCUGAGACACCAAGUCCCACAGGUCUCAGAGCAUCUCUCACCCAUCCCUGGAAAUGGAACUGAGAUGCUUGAAGAAGCCGAGAGGAGAUUUGGAGGGCAGAACUGGCCAGGAGUUCCAGGCCUGGGCAAGAGGUGUGCAGCAUGAGAGUAGGGGAGCGUCCCCUUGAGUGGCAGAAUGACACAGGGGUCCUUAAUCAGCAGCACUCCUGAGGCCAUCUGCAAGCCGGGGAACAGCUGUAUAGACUGUGGGGUUUUAAAACAAACCCUUAAUUUGUCUGAUACAUCUCGCUUUAUACAGUGGGACGAAUUCCCCUUGCCUUAAGUGUGGGUGUCCUUAGUGACUUGCUUCUAACUAAUAAAAUGUGCAGAAGAGGUGGUGUGUGAUGUCAAGAUUGGGACAUACAAGGCAUUUUGGCUUCCUACUUGCUGUCUCUCUUGGGCUUCUUGCUCUGGGGGAAGCCAGCUGCCAAAUCAUGGGCAUAAUCAAGCAGCCCUAGGAACAACACAGUGGCAAGGAACCGAAGCCUCCAGUCAUGAGGGGUGUGAGUGAUCUGCUUGGUAUUCGAUCCUCCAGCCCCGGUUGAGCCUUUAGAUGACUGCAUCCCUGGCUGAUAACUUGACUACAACUUCACGAGAGACCCUGAGCCAGAACCACUCGGCUAAGCUGCUUCUGAAUUCCUGACCCACUGAAACUGCGGGAUAGUAAAUGUUUG